AUGCAUUCUUGCUCUUCUUCUAAUACACAAGGUCAAGUCAAGGACAAUAAUGCAGUUAUUGUGCCUUCUCCUGAGGCCUCCAAAAAAGCUACUGUUCACUUGUUGGAGUGGAGAAAGCAUGAAGUGUCCAUUAAGGCUGUGUUGCAAACUGGCCCUUUUCUCUCUUCCUGCUCUCUGUCCUUUUGUGACCUAUUGCUCAAAUGUCUGUUCUGUCAUGGAUCUGCACUCGCGUGUGUAAUAACUUCUCAUGGAUUGAGAUCUGGUAUAUUAAGCUGGAUCAUCAAAAAACAAUAUGUAUGCAGCACAUAAAGUCUUCAGCUAGGAACAAAUUUUGUCACAUCUUACAAACUGAAGACUCUGGCCCUACGGUGCUAAGUUCAGCAAAGCAUGCAGGAAGGGACGAAAAACAAAGAACAAAAUUCUCUACUUCAUGCAGCACACUGAGGUAAAUGCUAUUUUUUAAUUUAAAAGUUUCUACACGAGUCUGUCCUUUCUUAGUUAUUCCUAGGCAAAAUAAAUAAUGAUGACUGCAUUACAACAUUUGA
rnacentral:lncRNA from 1 species